rnacentral:lncRNA from 1 species
AACAAAAAGAACGCCACAGUGAGAGCAAUCACGUCGGGUGUUCUGUCAUCGGUAUUCCCAAGCAAACGGUCCACCUGAGUGGAUAAAUAGAUCAUGAAGAGUCCUAGUAUAUACUGUGUCGGGACAAGCCAAGAUUUGCGACGACCGAAGUUCUUAACGUAGACCGCAUCAACCAACGGGGCCCAGAGUAAUUUGAGACUGAAGGGCCAAAAGACAAAACUGAAGAAAGCUUGGUCUGUAUAGCUAACAUUUUUGCUUUGCAAAAUGAGUGGGAUGCUUCCCGCCAAGCCCAGGGGAAUACCCUGAAGCACGUAAAGAAAGAGUAGUAGCAAAAUGCUGCUUAGUUCGGCCCGGAAGCUCUGUGGGGCUUUUAAGAAGUCGCCAGUGCCGGUAUCCCCCAGAAGAGCUUCUCUGUCCCCUUCCCGGCCCGCUGAGUCCAAAUGACUGUCAUCCCAACCGCCUGGCGGCAGGGGACCGCUCUUCAUAUCCAGAGAGUGACUGAAAUUCCCUGGCCGCCGUUGCCGGCUGCUGUCCUUGUGGGAGAUGGUGGGUGACAUAUCAGAGACGAUGCAGAGCCCCGUCUGUGGGGGGCCGAGGCUGAGCGUUUUGGAUCCGUCCAGUCCCAGGUCCAAGGCUGUCGCGCUGGACCAGGGUUUCGGUGGUUCAC